rnacentral:lncRNA from 1 species
UUUUUUUUUUGUAUAUUCUGUCACUUGAGCGAGCGUUGGUUCCACAGAUCUAGCCACACCUAGAAGCAAAGCAAUGGUCGACCGAUCGAGCAGCAAUGCAAUGCAGGAGGAUGGAUCCUCGCCCGGCCGGGGUGAACAAGAGGUGAAGCAAACACGCGUGCAGUGCACACAGUACCGUUCGUUUUUAUUUAUUGCUAAUUGAAAUCCUCAAAUCUAAUAAGCGCGGGGCUCUGGAUCCGAAAGCUGCCUGCACGAGCGGGCAGCUUAAUCUGUCACUAACUUUUCCACUGGAUUCGAUUCAGUACAGCACGUAAGCAAGCGAGCAUGCAUUGCAUGGCUGCCUGUACUCUCUUGGAUUAAUUAAGUAAUUAAGCAGGAGCCGGUAACUACACAGCUCCCGCGCUCCAGUCCCAGUCCAGCUCGCCGCUGCGAGGAGGAAGGAGCCUAC